rnacentral:pre_miRNA from 1 species
UUUUCUGAACUCUGUCAUUAAAUUUGCUAGUCGUAGCAAAUGUGUGGACGAGUUCGCGAAAAAC